rnacentral:rRNA from 1 species
GACAGCAGCCAUGUCACCCUCCAACUCCAGCUGGCAGCCCACUGAAGGCCAGCAGGCGUGAGCCUGGCCAGUACCUGGAUGGGAGACCUCCUGGGAAAAACUAAGGUUGUUGCAGGAA